AAGAAAGUCAAGUUAUUAUAACAAAAAAUAACUUUCAACAACGGAUCUCUUGGCUCUCGCAUCGAUGAAGAACGCAGCGAAAUGCGAUAAGUAAUGUGAAUUGCAGAAUUCAGUGAAUCAUCGAAUCUUUGAACGCAACUUGCGCUCUCUGGUAUUCCGGAGAGCAUGCCUGUUUGAGUGUCAUGAAAUCUCAACCAUUAGGGUUUCUUAAUGGCUUGGAUUUGGGUGUUGCCAGUCUCUGGCUCGCCUUAAAGGAGUUAGCGAGUUUAACAAUGUCGUCUGGCGUAAUAAGUUUCGCUGGUAAGACUUGUGAAGUUUGCUUCUAAUCGUCUUCGGACAAUUACUUUGACUCUGGCCUCAAAUCAGGUAGGACUACCCGCUGAACUUAAGCAUAUCAAUAAGCGGAGGAAAAGAAACUAACAAGGAUUCCCCUAGUAACGGCGAGUGAACCGGGAAGAGCUCAAAUUUGAAAUCUGGCAGUC
rnacentral:rRNA from 1 species